UACAGGGGGUGUAAGCGUUGUUCGGAAUUACUGGGCGUAAAGGGCGUGCAGGCGGUCUCUGCAAGUUGAAUGUGAAAUCCCUGGGCUUAACCUAGGACGUGCGUUCAAGACUGCAGGACUCGAAUAUGGGAGAGGGUCGUGGAAUUCCUGGUGUAGAGGUGAAAUUCGUAGAUAUCAGGAGGAACACUCGUGGCGAAGGCGACGACCUGGACCAAUAUUGACGCUGAGACGCGAAAGCGUGGGUAGCAAACAGGAUUAGAUACCCUGGUAGUCCACGCCGUAAACGAUGGGUACCAGGCGCUGCGGGUAUGACCCCUGCGGUGCCGGCGCUAACGUAUUAAGUACCCCGCCUGGGGAGUACGGUCGCAAGAUUAAA
rnacentral:rRNA from 1 species